rnacentral:rRNA from 1 species
UACGGAGGGUGCGAGCGUUGUCCGGAAUUACUGGGCGUAAAGCGUGCGUAGGUGGUGAGUUAAGUCUGUCGUGAAAGCCCCGGGCUCAACCUGGGAAUGGCGAUGGAUACUGGCUCGCUAGAGUGCGGUAGAGGAGAGUGGAAUUCCCGGUGUAGCAGUGAAAUGCGUAGAGAUCGGGAGGAACAUCUGUGGCGAAGGCGACUACCUGGACCAGCACUGACACUGAGGCACGAAAGCGUGGGGAGCAAACAGG